UACGAAGGGAGCUAGCGUUGUUCGGAAUCACUGGGCGUAAAGCGCACGUAGGCGGAUGUGUCAGUCAGGGGUGAAAUCCCGGAGCUCAACUUCGGAACUGCCUUUGAUACAGCACGUCUUGAGUCCGGAAGAGGUGGGUGGAAUUCCUAGUGUAGAGGUGAAAUUCGUAGAUAUUAGGAAGAACACCGGUGGCGAAGGCGGCUCUCUGGGACGUGACUGACGCUGAGACGCGAAAGCGUGGGGAGCGAACAGG
rnacentral:rRNA from 1 species